rnacentral:rRNA from 1 species
GAUGAACGCUGGCGGCGUGCCUAAUACAUGCAAGUCGAGCGAACAGACGAGGAGCUUGCUCCUCUGACGUUAGCGGCGGACGGGUGAGUAACACGUGGAUAACCUACCUAUAAGACUGGGAUAACUUCGGGAAACCGGAGCUAAUACCGGAUAAUAUAUUUAACCGCAUGGUUCAAUAGUGAAAGAUGGUUUUGCUGUCACUUAUAGAUGGAUCCGCGCCGCAUUAGCUAGUUGGUAAGGUAACGGCUUACCAAGGCAACGAUGCGUAGCCGACCUGAGAGGGUGAUCGGCCACACUGGAACUGAGACACGGUCCAGACUCCUACGGGAGGCAGCAGUAGGGAAUCUUCCGCAAAGGGCGAAAGCCUGACGGAGCAACGCCGCGUGAGUGAUGAAGGUCUUCGGAUCGUAAAACUCUGUUAUUAGGGAAGAACAAAUGUGUAAGUAACUAUGCACGUCUUGACGGUACCUAAUCAGAAAGCCACGGCUAACUACGUG